rnacentral:rRNA from 1 species
CACGUGGGAACGUGCCUUUCAGUUCGGAACAACUCAGGGAAACUUGAGCUAAUGCCGGAUACGCCCUUCGGGGGAAAGAUUUAUCGCUGAAAGAUCAGCCCGCGUUGGAUUAGCUAGUUGGUGAGGUAACGGCUCACCAAGGCGGCGAUCCAUAGCUGAUCUGAGAGGAUGAUCAGCCACACUGGGACUGAGACACGGCCCAGACUCCUACGGGAGGCAGCAGUGGGGAAUCUUGGACAAUGGGCGCAAGCCUGAUCCAGCCAUGCCGCGUGAGUGAUGAAGGUCUUCGGAUUGUAAAACUCUUUCGUCAGGGACGAUAAUGACUGUACCUGAAGAAGAAGCCCCGGCUAACUUCGUG